GACGAACGCUGGCGGCGUGCCUAACACAUGCAAGUCGAACGGAACUUCUUUAAAGGAUUUCUUCGGAAUGAAUUUGAUUAAGUUUAGUGGCGGACGGGUGAGUAACGCGUGAGUAACCUGCCUCUGAGAGGGGAAUAACAUUCUGAAAAGAAUGCUAAUACCGCAUAAUAUAUAUUUAUCGCAUGGUAGAUAUAUCAAAGAUUUAUCGCUUAGAGAUGGACUCGCGUCCGAUUAGUUAGUUGGUGAGGUAACGGCUCACCAAGACCGCGAUCGGUAGCCGGACUGAGAGGUUGAACGGCCACAUUGGGACUGAGACACGGCCCAGACUCCUACGGGAGCAGCAGUGGGAAUAUUGCACAAUGGGGGAAACCUGAUGCAGCGACGCCGCGUGGAGAAGAAGGUCUUCGGAUUGUAAACUCCUGUUG
rnacentral:rRNA from 1 species